AGAAGAGUAUGGAAAAGCUGUCCCAGUGAUGACCAUUAGAGACUUUCUGCACAAGACCCCUUAGACCUAGGCAGGCGUCACCAGAAGCAGAGAGGGACAUAGAGCUGGAGAGAAAUGUAUUGGCUCAUGGUUCUGAGCUGGGAAGUUCCAGAUCUAGCAGUUGGCAUCUGACAAGGACCUUCUUGCUGCAUCAUCUUCUCAUGGCAGAAAGCAGAAGAGGAAGAGAGAGAAUAAAUGACAGCUGAACUCCCUCUUUUACAACAAAUCCUCCCCUGGGAUAACAGCAUUAAUUCAUUCACUUUGCCCUCAUGGCCUAAUCACCUCUCAUUAGACCCUACCUCCUGACAAUGCCAGAUUGGGGAUCAAGUUUCCAAUCAUGAACAAUAGGGGAUACAUCAAAUUGCAGCAGUUAGUCUGACUAAAAUGUUCCAAGAUAUAA
rnacentral:lncRNA from 1 species